GGUGAACGCUGGCGGCGUGCCUAACACAUGCAAGUCGAGCGGUGCAGUUUGAAGCUUCGGUGGAAAGCUGCAUAGCGGCGGACGGGUGAGGAAAACGUAGGAACGUGCCCCUUGGAGUUGGAUAGCCACGGGAAACUGUGGGUAAACCGACAUAGACUCGAGAGAGUAAAGGCCGAAAGGCGCCAAGGGAGCGGCCUGCGGCCCAUCAGGUAGUUGGUAGGGUAAUAGCCUACCAAGCCGAUGACGGGUAGCCGGCCUGAGAGGGUGACCGGCCCGAGGGGCACUGAGAUACGGGUCCCACUCCUACGGGAGGCAGCAGGCUAGAAAUUUGGGCAAUGGGGGAAACCCUGACCCAGUGACGCCGCGUGCAGGAAGGAGCCCUUCGGGGUGUAAACUGCUGUCGUGUAGGGAGAAGGGUACUAAGGUGAACAAUCUUAGUACUUGACGGUACUACAGGAGGAAGCCCAGGCUAACCUCGUG
rnacentral:rRNA from 1 species